AUUGAACGCUGGCAGCAGGCCUAACACAUGCAAGUCGAGCGAGCGGCGGACGGGAGAGUAAUGUAUGGAGACUGACCGAGAGAGGGGGAUAACUACUGGAAACGAUGGCUAAUACCGAAUACUAUCGGAAAACCCAUAGGGGAUUAGCUAGUAGGGGGGGUAAAGGCUCACCUAGGCGACGAUCUCUAGCUGGUCUGAGAGUAUGAUCAGCCACACUGGGACUGAGACACGUCCCAGACGCCUACGGAGGCAGCAGGGGGGAAUAUUGCACAAUGGGCGCAAGCCUGAUGCAGCCAUGCCGCGUGUAUGAAGAAGGCCUUAGGGUUGUAAAGUACUUUCAGCGGGGAGGCGUUACCCGCAGAAGAAGCACCGGCUAACUCCGUGCCAGCAGCCGCGGUAAUUC
rnacentral:rRNA from 1 species